GCAGUCUGAUUCUGUUGCCUCCUUGCUGUCUGCCUGUCUACUUCUCUCUGCGACAAGCCACACUACUAUUGCCAUAAGGGGUACCAUUCCAUCAACGUCUUAGCGGAUCUGUGAUGCAACCAGGCGCAUUCUGUUCCUGAAUGCCAGAUACCCGGGAUCCUGCCAUGAUGCCUCUGUAUGGGCAGCGUCCCAGCUCUGUCGAGAAGCUCCCACAAUAUUUGAAGAUGGAAUCCCGAGGCCUUAACUAUGAUAGGUGGUUAGCCUAUGUCAGAGGCAAUUACUCACUCACGCAAUGCUUUCAGUUGAUUCUUGCAGAAUUGCGAGAAAAGCAUGGUUGCACAUGAUUCGUUCUGUGGAAAGGUACACUAUGGUGCAAGCUUCGCAGAUUUGAAUGGUUGCGGAACAGUACCAGGAAGAGCACCCCGUUGGUGCAAGUCAGCGGACACAGUCGAUUCGGCAACCCUCUUCACAACAGGAAGCAAGUUCUGCGACUGCUGUAUACACUACGCCUGACACAGCGGCAGCAUGGUGACUUGCUGCAGGAACUUAGCAGCCACAGUCUCCGCUUUUAACAAGCUCCCGUUUCAACCUCAGCACUUAUUAGGGCUCCAUUUUCAAGCUCAGCUGAGCUGGAGCUAUUUAACUCCACCAUGAACGAGAGAAAGAAGGAAA